rnacentral:rRNA from 1 species
AGUGAACGCUGGCGGUAGGCCUAACACAUGCCAGUCGAACGGCAGCACAGUAAGAGCUUGCUCUUACGGGUGGCGAGUGGCGGACGGGUGAGGAAUACAUCGGAAUCUACUUUUUCGUGGGGGAUAACGUAGGGAAACUUACGCUAAUACCGCAUACGACCUACGGGUGAAAGCAGGGGAUCUUCGGACCUUGCGCGAUUGGAUGAGCCGAUGUCGGAUUAGCUAGUUGGCGGGGUAAAGGCCCACCAAGGCGACGAUCCGUAGCUGGUCUGAGAGGAUGAUCGGCCACCCUGGAACUGAGACACGGUCCAGACUCCUACGGGAGGCAGCAGUGGGGAAUAUUGGACAAUGGGCGCAAGCCUGAUCCAGCCAUACCGCGUGGGUGAAGAAGGCCUUCGGGUUGUAAAGCCCUUUUGUUGGGAAAGAAAAGCAGCAGGUUAAUACCCCGCUGUUCUGACGGUACCCAAAGAAUAAGCACCGGCUAACUUCGUG